AACAGGGAAGCACGGCUGGCCCUUAAAUGUACACAGAGAGCUAGAAACGCCGUUCUAAUUUCAAAAAUUGCGGAACGGUCUCGAUCGAGUUCCUUGUAUACAACUUUUUGAUAUAUGUUAUACUUUUUCCGUUAUUCACUUUUUGUCCUCUUUUUUUCCUCCAUCUGCUUUCAUGGGAUUUCUCAAGAUUCUAAGGCUCCCCAUUGUGACAUCAUCACUACCAACUGCCAUUCUCUUGCUCAUCAUCAUCGAUCGGAAUAUCUAGCAGCAGACAUUGAGCCCAGCUUCAGAAAACUGCCAAAUGGAAGCCUUGUCUUAACGGACAGUAAGGAUUCCAGGACUUACAGGACAAAAACUACUAAAAGAGUGUGGUGCAGUUUGGCCUUUAUAAGGAGCAGACCUUCAAGUGGGUGGUUGAAACUGUGCUGGGCUGGGUGGGGUAUUGGCAUCGAUGCUAAAAUAAUCUGCCUCUCAGCCAGUGUGGAGUGAUUUCAAAAACCAUGCUGCUAAUAAGAUGGCUUUCAAGGAAUACAUGGAGCGCUUCCCUGAGGGCUGGGAGGCUAUCAGGAUUAAGUCCAACAUCCAGACAUCCUCCACCACCCAGCCAUCCUCCACCACCCAGCCCUGCAAAGACCAGAUGACCACUGGUUCCCAAAGGUCCUCAACAUCCUCACUCAGUUCUACUUUUCAGCACUUCCAGCCUCUGAGCCUGAUGAUGGUGAGCUCCUUAUUGAAGCAGAGCAGCUUGAGUCACUGGAGUCAGGAGAGACGUAUGCCUUCCCAAGGGAUGGCAACGCAUUUUACCUGAUGUGGACCAUAAGUGGGUGUCCAAGGCAUUUUUCAGGUGGUCAGGGAAGGGUGAAGCUGUAUUGCCCAAAUUCUGACUGUGAGAGGGGGGAGUUGACCUCAUCAGGACUCCACCAGAAGAUCAGCGAGGUUGUGGAUGUGGAUGGAUCCUACUAUGUGGCAGCAGAAUGCCUUCAAUGUCCCAAGUGCAGUAGGAAGGUCAUCAGUUGGAACAUAUGGUUCCUUACACUGUUCCACACAAAUACACUGGGGAGCUGAUAGGUUUGGAGUAACUCUUCGAUCAGACUGGUUUGGUGCUGCAGGAUUACAAGGCUGCCAUUGAGGAACUGGAGACAGGUGAUCCUGAUGUCCAAGGGGAGGAUGAUGAGGGCUUUGUGGAGAUUGUGGAAUUUCAGGACCUGACAGCUCCAGUGCUGGAGACAGCCCUGCCCCUUGUUGGCACCUUUCGUCCUACUCCCACCCCCUCUACCAGCAUCCAGUCCACAGCUGCAUCAGUCAGUCCCCUGUCCUCCACUCCUGAACGGGCUACUCCACCACCUGGGCCUCUGUCCUCCACACCUGCGCUCGCCAGUCCAUCAGUCAGUCCCCUGUCCUCCACUCCUGUAUGGGCUAACGUUACUCCUUAGUCCAUGGACCAUAAAUGUUAUUUUUAAAGUGUGAAUUGGCUCUGGCAGUCAAAACAGCCAAAUACUCCAUCUAAACAUGAAUUGAUUCUCAAUUCCGGUACAAUUCUAGAAACAUUCUAGAGAUGGGAGAACCUUCCAGAAGGACAACCAUCUCUGCAGCACUCCACCAAUCAGGCCCUUGUGGUAGAG